CACGAGAUUAGUCAGACAAUUGCUUUGUAAGCCGCUGAACAGUCUGAAAACGAAAGAUGAAGAGGAGAGUUACUUCCAACUGCCAAAGUCAAUUUGCCAAGAACUUGGCGUUCAACCGAAUUCCAGGUGAGAUUGCCCAUCCCUAAAAAUUCUAGAUUCGAAUAUUCAGCAGCUUCCUGUAACUUAUGUUGCACUUGUUUAGCACGCAUCUAAAUCUUUCGCGAGACGGGAACCCGUUGGUUCGAUUCGAUGUGCCGCAAACGCAUAGUGACUGACACUACUCUAGGUCGAUGAAAUACUCCAUCGCUGUUGCACAGAUCUAAGCCUAGCAAACGUGCACACAUACAAGUGUAGAAUGGAGGGAGACAUCCAAAUGCGCUGGUGGAUUGAAAUGCAAAUCCGAAAUAAAUCUGAGAACAGGAGAAGCGAUCCUCCCAUUCCAAACACCGGGGAAAGGAUGUGAAUAGAAGAAUCUGGGAGAAACCGGCGCUGUAGAACUCCAAGCGAUAUAAUGUAGCGCGUUGUAACUGAUGAGGCGAAGUGAGGUAGUGAACCGUUUGAGUGAAAGGGGGAGAGAGUAUGGUGUCGUGGUGACAC
rnacentral:lncRNA from 1 species